CCGGCCUAACACGUGCAGUCGACGGUAACAGGAAGAAGCUUGCUUCUUCGCUGACGAGUGGCGGACGGGUGAGUAAUGUCUGGGAAACUGCCUGAUGGAGGGGGAUAACUACUGGAAACGGUAGCUAAUACCGCAUAACGUCGCAAGACCAAAGAGGGGGACCUUCGGGCCUCUUGCCAUCGGAUGUGCCCAGAUGGGAUUAGCUAGUAGGUGGGGUAACGGCUCACCUAGGCGACGAUCCCUAGCUGGUCUGAGAGGAUGACCAGCCACACUGGAACUGAGACACGGUCCAGACUCCUACGGGAGGCAGCAGUGGGGAAUAUUGCACAAUGGGCGCAAGCCUGAUGCAGCCAUGCCGCGUGUAUGAAGAAGGCCUUCGGGUUGUAAAGUACUUUCAGCGGGGAGGAAGGGAGUAAAGUUAAUACCUUUGCUCAUUGACGUUACCCGCAGAAGAAGCACCGGCUAACUCCGUGCCAGCAGCCGCGGUAAUAA
rnacentral:rRNA from 1 species